GCAAAAAAGCUAGCCUAAAAAAUAGAAUAAAUUAACAACCAUAAAUAACUAAUCGACAAAUAACUAAAGCAUUUUUCCACCUAAGUAUAGGCGAUAGAAAAGGCACACCCCAUAGAGCCAUAGAAAAAGUACCGCAAGGGAAAGCUGAAAAAGAAAUGAAAAAACUCGUAUAAAGCAAUAAAAAGCAGAGACUAAAACUCGUACCUUUUGCAUCAUGAUUUAGCAAGCACUAACCCAAGCAAAAAGAAUCUUAGUUUGAGACCCCGAAACUAGACGAGCUACUCCGGAGCAGUUUCAAAGAACCAACCCGUCUCUGUGGCAAAAGAGUGGGAAGACUCCCGAGUAGGAGUGAAAAACCUAACGAGCCUAGUUAUAGCUGGUUGCUUAGAAAAUGAAUCUUAGUUCAGCCUCAUAAACCCCUUAAACCACAAGCGACUACUACUAUAAAGGACAAAGUGACAUAUGAGAGUUAGUCAAAGGAGGUACAGCCCCUUUGAAACAGGACACAACCUUACCAGGAGGACAAGAAUCAUAAUAUAUUAAGGAAUUACAUCCCCCAGUGGGCCCAAAAGCAGCCACCUGAAAAGAAAGCGUUACAGCUCAAGGAAGACCACACCAAUAAUAACGAUAGUAUAAUUCAAACCCCCUAUAAAUACUAAGCCAUUCUAUACCAAUAUAGAAGAAACAAUGCUAAAAUAAGUAAUAAGAGAACACCAAACUCUCUCCAAACACAAGUGUAAGUCAGAACGGACAAACCACUGACAAUUAACGGACCCAAACCUGAGGGUAAAACAACAACUUAAAGGAUACACAAGAAAAACCUAUAUAACAAAACCGUUAACCCAACACAGGAGUGUAAAUAAAGGAAAGACUAAAAGGAGAAGAAGGAACUCGGCAAACACUAACCCCGCCUGUUUACCAAAAACAUCGCCUCUUGCCAAAACUAUGUAUUAGAGGUCCCGCCUGCCCUGUGACCACUGUGUUUAACGGCCGCGGUAUUAUAACCGUGCAAAGGUAGCGUAAUCAUUUGUCUUUUAAAUGAAGACCCGUAUGAACGGCACCACGAGGGUUUAACUGUCUCCUUCCCCUGGUCAAUGAAAUUGAUCUUCCCGUGCAGAAGCGGGAAUAAAAACAUAAGACGAGAAGACCCUAUGGAGCUUUAGGCUAAAGAUUCAAGCAUGUAAAGAAAUCUACAUGGAACAAAAGAAACGAACAGAUUUAAACCUAAUGUAAAAUGAUCACAUGCCUUCGGUUGGGGCGACCACGGGGAAAAGAAAAGCCCCCGAAUGGAAUGAAAACAUUCUCCUAAACCAAGAGGUACACCUCUAAGUAACAGAAAAUCUGACCAAACAUGACCCGGGAUAAACCUAAACCCGAUCAAUGAACCAAGUUACCCUAGGGAUAACAGCGCAAUCCUUUCCCAGAGUCCUUAUCGACGAAAGGGUUUACGACCUCGAUGUUGGAUCAGGACAUCCUAAUGGUGAAGCCGCUAUUAAGGGUUCGUUUGUUCAACGAUUAACAGUCCUACGCGAUCUGAGUUCAGACCGGAGCAAUCCAGGUCGGUUUCUAUCUAUGACUUUACUUCUCCCUAGUACGAAAGGACCGGGAAAAGAGGGCCCAUACUAAAAGCAAGCCCCACCUCAAUGCCCUGAAAACAAAUAAAAGGGACAAUGAGAUAAACCAAAACCACCAAAGAUAAUGGUAG
rnacentral:rRNA from 1 species